rnacentral:rRNA from 1 species
AGGGUCCGUAGGCGGUUCAUUAAGUCAGGGGUGAAAGCCUGCGGCUCAACCGUGGAACUGCCUUUGAUACUGGUGGUCUUGAGUUAUGGUAGAGGUGGGUGGAAUUUGUAGUGUAGCGGUGAAAUGCAUAGAUAUCACAAAGAACACCGAUGGCGAAGGCAGGUCACUGGCCACAUACUGACGCUGAUGGACGAAAGCGUGGGGAGCAAACGGGAUUAGAUACCCUGGUAGUCCACGCCGUAAACGAUGGAUACUAGCUGUCCGGGACUUUACUGUCUCGGCGGCCAAGCGAAAAUGAUAUUUAUCCCACCUGGGGAGUACGUUGGCACGAAAGAAACUCAAAGGAAUUGACGGG